rnacentral:rRNA from 1 species
UACGGAGGGUGCAAGCGUUAAUCGGAAUUACUGGGCGUAAAGCGCUCGUAGGCGGCUUGUUAAGUCGGAUGUGAAAGCCCUGGGCUCAACCUGGGAACUGCAUUCGAUACUGUCAGGCUAGAGUAUAGAAGAGGCAAGUGGAAUUCCAGGUGUAGCGGUGAAAUGCGUAGAUAUCUGGAGGAACAUCAGUGGCGAAGGCGACUUGCUGGUCUAAUACUGACGCUGAGGAGCGAAAGCGUGGGGAGCAAACGGG